rnacentral:rRNA from 1 species
UGGGGAAUUUUGGACAAUGGGCGAAAGCCUGAUCCAGCCAUGCCGCGUGAGUGAAGAAGGCCUUCGGGUUGUAAAGCUCUUUUAGUCGGAAAGAAAGAGUUGCAAUGAAUAAUUGUGAUUUAUGACGGUACCGACAGAAAAAGCACCGGCUAACUACGUGCCAGCAGCCGCGGUAAUACGUAGGGUGCGAGCGUUAAUCGGAAUUACUGGGCGUAAAGGGUGCGCAGGCGGUCUUGCAAGUCAGAUGUGAAAGCCCCGGGCUUAACCUGGGAAUUGCGUUUGAAACUACAAGGCUAGAGUGCAGCAGAGGGGAGUGGAACUCCAUGUGCAGCAGUGAAAUGCGUAGAGAUGUGGAAGAACACCGAUGGCGAAGGCAGCUCCCUGGGUUGACACUGACGCUCAUGCACGAAAGCGUGGGGAGCAAACA